rnacentral:rRNA from 1 species
GGGUUGUGAGGUUAAGCGACUAAGCGUACACGGUGGAUGCCCUGGCAGUCAGAGGCGAUGAAGGACGUGCUAAUCUGCGAUAAGCGUCGGUGAGGUGAUAUGAACCGUUAUAACCGGCGAUUUCCGAAUGGGG